rnacentral:rRNA from 1 species
AGCGAACGCUGGCGGCAGGCUUAACACAUGCAAGUCGAGCGGGCAUCCUUGUGGUGUCAGCGGCAGACGGGUGAGUAACGCGUGGGAACGUCCCCUUCGGUUCGGAAUAACUCAGGGAAACUUGAGCUAAUACCGGAUACGUGCGAGAGCAGAAAGGUUUAUCUGCCGAAGGAUCGGCCCGCGUCUGAUUAGCUAGUUGGUGAGGUUACGGCUCACCAAGGCGACGAUCAGUAGCUGGUCUGAGAGGAUGAUCAGCCACACUGGGACUGAGACACGGCCCAGACUCCUACGGGAGGCAGCAGUGGGGAAUAUUGGACAAUGGGGGCAACCCUGAUCCAGCCAUGCCGCGUGAGUGAUGACGGCCUUAGGGUUGUAAAGCUCUUUUCUCCGGGACGAUAAUGACGGUACCGGAGGAAUAAGCCCCGGCUAACUUCGUG